GCCGGGUUAGCUCAGUUGGUAGAGCGCGUCACUUGUAAUGACGAUGUCGCGAGUUCGAUUCUCGCACCCGGCU
rnacentral:tRNA from 1 species